rnacentral:rRNA from 1 species
AGCAGGCGCGUAAAUUGCCCGAAUCCUGACACAGGGAGGUAGUGACAAGAAAUAACAAUACAGGGCUACUUCUAGUCUUGUAAUUGGAAUGAGUACAAUUUACAUCUCUUAACGAUGAUCAAUUGGAGGGCAAGUCUGGUGCCAGCAGCCGCGGUAAUUCCAGCUCCAAAAGCGUAUAUUAAAGUUGUUGCAGUUAAAACGCUCGUAGUCGUGUUUCGGGUCGGGCCGACCGGUCUGCCGAUGGGUAUGCACUGGUUGGAGCGGCCUUCUUUCCGGAGACCGCGGCUACUCUUAACUGAGCGGGGGUGGGAGACGGAUCGUUUACUUUGAAAAAAUCAGAGUGUUUCAAGCAGGCAGCUCGCUCUUGCAUGGUACAGCAUGGGAUGAUUGAAUAGGACUCCGGUGCUAUUUUGUUGGUUUCGAACACCGAAGUAAUGAUGAGAAGGGACAGUCAGGGGGCACUCGUAUUCCGUCGAGAGAGGUGAAAUUCUCAGACCAAUGGAAGACGAACCACUGCGAAAGCAUUUGCCAGGGAUGUUUUCACUGAUCAAGAACGAAAGUUAGGGGAUCGAAGACGAUCAGAUACUGUCAGAGUCAUCCCCAUAACACACGCAGUCUAGAGAGUAGAGUGUGCUCGGAUCGACUCCUUCAGCACUUACGGGAAACUAAAGUCUUUGGGUUCCGGGGGGAGUAUGGUCGCAAGGCUGAAACUUAAAGGAAUUGACGGAAGGGCACCACCAGGAGUGGAGCCUGCGGCUUAAUUUGACUCAACACGGGGAAACUUACCAGGUCCAGACAUUGUGAGGAUUGACAGAUUGAGAGCUCUUUCUUGAUUCGAUGGGUGGUGGUGCAUGGCCGUUCUUAGUUGGUGGAGUAAUUUGUCUGGUUAAUUCCGUUAACGAACGAGACCUUAGCCUGCUAAAUAGUGACGCGAACACUUCGUUCGGGGCCCAUUUUUUAGAGGGACAAUUAUUUUUCACCAAGGGGAAGUUUGAGCCAAUACCAGUUUUGGGAUGCCUUUAGAUGUUUUGGGCCCCCCCCGCGUUCCAUGGAUCCAUUCAACAAUUUUCACCUUGACCGAAAGGUCCGGGAAGCCUUCGAACUUGCAUCGUGAUGGGGAUAGAUUAUUGCAACUAUUAAUCUUCAACGAGGAAUACCUAGUAAGCGCAUGUCAUCAGCGCACGUUGA